AGUGAACGCUGGCGGUAGGCCUAACACAUGCAAGUCGAACGGCAGCACAGUAAGAGCUUGCUCUUACGGGUGGCGAGUGGCGGACGGGUGAGGAAUACAUCGGAAUCUACUUUUUCGUGGGGGAUAACGUAGGGAAACUUACGCUAAUACCGCAUACGACCUACGGGUGAAAGCAGGGGAUCUUCGGACCUUGCGCGAUUGAAUGAGCCGAUGUCGGAUUAGCUAGUUGGCGGGGUAAAGGCCCACCAAGGCGACGAUCCGUAGCUGGUCUGAGAGGAUGAUCAGUCACACUGGAACUGAGACACGGUCCAGACUCCUACGGGAGGCAGCAGUGGGGAAUAUUGGACAAUGGGCGCAAGCCUGAUCCAGCCAUACCGCGUGGGUGAAGAAGGCCUUCGGGUUGUGAAGCCCUUUUGUUGGGAAAGAAAAGCAGCAGGUUAAUACCCCGCUGUUCUGACGGUACCCAAAGAAUAAGCACCGGCUAACUUCGUG
rnacentral:rRNA from 1 species